rnacentral:rRNA from 1 species
GAUGAACGCUGGCGGCGUGCCUAAUACAUGCAAGUCGAGCGAAAGGACGAGAUGCUUGCUUCUCUGAUGUUAGCGGCGGACGGGAGAGUAACACGUGGAUACCCUACCUAUAGGAAUGGGAUAACUACGGGAAACAGGAGCUCAUACCGGAUAAUAUUUUGAACCGCAUGGUUCAAAAGUGAGAGACGGUCUUGCGGUCACUUAUAGAUGGAUCCGCGCUGCAUUAGCUAGUUGGUCAGGUAACCGCUUACCAAGGCAACGAUGCAUAGCCGAACUGAGAGGGUGAUCGGCCACACUGGAACUGAGACACGGUCCAGACUCCUACGGGAGGCAGCAGUAGGGAAUCUUGCGCAAUGGGCGAAAGCCUGACGGAGCAACGCCGCGUGCGUGAUGAAGGUCUUCGGAUCGUAAAACGCUGUUAUUCGGAAAGAACAGAUUUGUAAGUAACUGUGCAGAUCUUGACGGUACCUAAUGAGAAAGCCACGGCUAACUACGUG